UACGAGGGGUGCAAGCGUUGUUCGGAUUUAUUGGGUGUAAAGGGUGCGCAGACGGUUUGUUAAGUCAAUUGUUAAAUUCCUCGGCCUAACUGAGGGUAUGCGAGUGAUACUGGCGAACUUGAGGAUGGAAGAGAGAAGUGGAAUUCUCGGAGUAGCGGUAAAAUGCGUAGAUCUCGAGAGGAACACCAAUGGCGAAGGCAGCUUCUUGGUCCAUAUCUGACGUUCAUGCACGAAAGCGUGGGGAGCAAACAGG
rnacentral:rRNA from 1 species